UCUAUUAAGCCUAAUUAGUCCAUGAUUUGACCAUGUGAUGCUACAGUAAAUAUGUGCUAAUCAUGAAUUAAUUAGGCUUAAUAGAUUCGUCUUGCGUAUUAGCCACGGCUCAUGCAAUUAGUUUUAUAAUUAGUUCACGUUUAGUCCUUUUAAUUGGUAUCCAAACAUCCAAUGUGACCCGAACUAAAAAUUAGUCCAUGGAUCCAAACACCCCC
rnacentral:lncRNA from 1 species